rnacentral:rRNA from 1 species
GUCCAGACUCCUACGGGAGGCAGCAGUGGGGGAUAUUGCACAAUGGGGGAAACCCUGAUGCAGCGACGCCGCGUGGGCGAAGAAGUAUUUCGGUAUGUAAAGCCCUAUCAGCAGGGAAGAAGAAAUGACGGCACCUGAGUAAGAAGCACCGGCUAAAUACGUGCCAGCAGCCGCGGUAAUACGUAGGGGGCAAGCGUUAUCCGGAUUUACUGGGUGUAAAGGGAGCGUAGACGGCUGUGCAAGCCAGAUGUGAAAGCCCGGGGCUCAACCCCGGGACUGCAUUUGGAACUGCGUGGCUUGAGUGUCGGAGAGGCAGGCGGAAUUCCUAGUGUAGCGGUGAAAUGCGUAGAUAUUAGGAGGAACACCAGUGGCGAAGGCGGCCUGCUGGACGAUGACUGACGUUGAGGCUCGAAAGCGUGGGGAGCAAACAGGAUUAGAUACCCGUGUA